rnacentral:rRNA from 1 species
GCUUGCUCUGGGUACUCGAGUGGCGAACGGGUGWGUAACACGUGGGUGAUCUGCCCUCAACUUUGGGAUAAGCCUGGGAAACUGGGUCUAAUACCGGAUAGGAMCAWUCUUUAGUGUGGWUGKUGGAAAGCUUUUGCGGUUGGGGAUGAGCUCGCGGCCUAUCAGCUUGUUGGUGGGGUAAUGGCCUACCAAGGCGUCGACGGGUAGCCGGCCUGAGAGGGUGUACGGCCACAUUGGGACUGAGAUACGGCCCAGACUCCUACGGGAGGCAGCAGUGGGGAAUAUUGCACAAUGGGCGGAAGCCUGAUGCAGCGACGCCGCGUGGGGGAUGAAGGCCUUCGGGUUGUAAACUCCUUUCGACAGGGACGAAGCUUUUGUGACGGUACCUGUAUAAGAAGCACCGGCUAACUACGUGCCAGCAGCCGCGGUAAUACGUAGGGUGCGAGCGUUGUCCGGAAUUACUGGGCGUAAAGAGCUCGUAGGUGGUUUGUCGCGUCGUCUGUGAAAUUCCGGGGCUUAACUCCGGGCGUGCAGGCGAUACGGGCUGACUUGAGUGCUGUAGGGGAGACUGGAAUUCCUGGUGUAGCGGUGAAAUGCGCAGAUAUCAGGAGGAACACCGAUGGCGAAGGCAGGUCUCUGGGCAGUUACUGACGCUGAGGAGCGAAAGCAUGGGUAGCGAACAGGAUUAGAUACCCUGGUAGUCCAUGCCGUAAACGGUGGGCGCUAGGUGUGAGUCCCUUCCACGGGGUUCGUGCCGUAGCUAACGCAUUAAGCGCCCCGCCUGGGGAGUACGGCCGCAAGGCUAAAACUCAAAGGAAUUGACGGGGGCCCGCACAAGCGGCGGAGCAUGUGGAUUAAUUCGAUGCAACGCGAAGAACCUUACCUGGGCUUGACAUAUACAGGAUUGCUGCAGAGAUGUAGUUUCCCUUGUGGCUUGUAUACAGGUGGUGCAUGGUUGUCGUCAGCUCGUGU